AACGAACGCUGGCGGCGUGCCUAACACAUGCAAGUCGCGCGAGAAAGUGGGGGCAACUCCAUGAGUACAGCGGCGCACGGGUGAGUAACACGUAGGUAACCUGCCUUCGAGACCGGGAUAACCUUCCGAAAGGAGGGCUAAUACCGGAUGAGACCACGGGACUUUGGUCCUGCGGUCAAAGGUGGCCUCUGCAUGCAAGCUAUUACUCGAAGAUGGGCCUGCGCACCAUUAGCUAGUUGGCGAGGUAACGGCUCACCAAGGCUAAGAUGGUUAGCUGGUCUGAGAGGAUGAUCAGCCACACUGGGACUGAGACACGGCCCAGACUCCUACGGGAGCAGCAGUGGGAAUAUUGGACAAGUGGGGAAACCCUGAUCCAGCGACGCCGCGUGGGUGAUGAAGGCC
rnacentral:rRNA from 1 species